UUGUCAUGUUCUGUCUUGAUUGUGCUCCAGCUCCAGCUGGAGAGAAGGGCGGAUCCCUCCGGCAGGCGCACCUGUGCCUCGUUUCCUCAUUAAGCCUGGCUCUGUAUUUAAGGACUCGCAUGCUGUUGUGCUUUAACUGUGAUUUUUCUAGACCCCUCGAUACCAUUCAUAGUUGCUCUUGUUUUGUUCACUGAUCAUUGAGGCAAAUGAAGCUUUUAAGCUAGGUGGAGGAAAGGUGAGGAGGGGGGCCUUACCACUGAAAACAUUAAUUGACUUUCUGCACAGCGUCACUUAUCCUCUGACUGGGACAUGAAUCAACCAGGCAUCAUAUUCCUGACACUGACAAACAGCCUGACAGGUAAGUGAACUGGCAGUGGCAUACAUACGCUAUUUGGAGACAAAAACAAUCUGACAAAACGAGCUUCGUUUGUACAGUAUUGCAUUCCAGCACAAAUGUUUUUCAUCUAUUUAUAUACCGAAAUACAAAGUGAGCCGCUAAACAGCAUGCUGCCACCCUGUCCUGCUCUGAUCUGUUUGGGCUAUAAAUAGACAUCCCUUGCUGUGGCAUCCACUGAAUCAAUCUGUCUGGAUCCAUUUAUCUAUCAAGCGGACUGCCCGCUUGUUUGCUCAUCUGUCCGAUUGCAUUUCCGAGAGGCUUGCCUCUCUCUCAGGCAAAGCAGUGGCCUUCUGCUGAGGUGUCCUAGACCCCGGACGGACAACGACUUUGGUGACACUGCAGCAGCAGUGACCUCACGCCAUCCCACAACAAAUCAAAGGACAAACAAGCAAGCAUGCAGCAACAGCUGGCCAGAUCACGUGGUGUCACCUUGUUUGUCUCCCACUGCAUCCUUUCUCGUUUAACCUCACACUGAUGGGAGGGGAUACAUUGAUUGCCACGAUUCUGAAAGCACGAUGGAUGAAAACAAGUUGGACCGGCGUGGGAAUGGGAGAAAGGGAACCACCAAUGGAAACCCAAUGUGACGCGCUGAUGAUUGCAUUGAUGUUUGAAAUCAAUGUGAUUGAACCAUGCAGAGCCGCCCUGUGUAAGCACAGUGCUCGUGGACGUGCGCGGAGCUGUCACAUCAGCAGCUUUGCAUAGCUGCAGUGUUACAUAAGCGGGGGUGGGAGGUUAUGUAGUGAAGGAAUCCUGCACUCCACCUGGGCUAA